AUCAUACCGGCUCGUUGGUCAG
rnacentral:snRNA from 1 species